CACGUAGUUAGCCGGGGCUUCUUAGUCAGGUACCGUCAUUUUCUUCCCUGCUGAUAGAGCUUUACAUACCGAAAUACUUCCUCACUCACGCGGCGUCGCUGCAUCAGGGUUUCCCCCAUUGUGCAAUAUUCCCCACUGCUGCCUCCCGUAGGAGUUUGGGCCGUGUCUCAGUCCCAAUGUGGCCGUUCACCCUCUCAGGCCGGCUACUGAUCGUCGCUUUGGUAGGCCGUUACCCUGCCAACUGGCUAAUCAGACGCGGGUCCAUCUCAUACUGAUAAAUCUUUUCCGUCUGUAUCAUGCGAUACUAGCGGGUUAUGCGGUAUUAGCGGUCGUUUCCAACUGUUAUCCCCCUGUAUGAGGUAGGUUACCCACGCGUUACUCACCCGUCCGCCACUCAGUCACAAAGGCUUUCAUCCGAAGAAUCUUUCCCAAGUGCUUCGUUCGACUUGCAUGUGUUAAGCACGCCGCCAGCGUUCAUCCUGAGCCAGGAUCAAACUCU
rnacentral:rRNA from 1 species